UAGAUGCGAGAGUAGAGCAUAUCAAUAAGCGGAGGAAAAGAAACUAACAAGGAUUCCCUUAGUAACGGCGAGUGAAGCGGGAAGAGCUCAAAUUUGAAAUCUUCAAGGUUCUACCUUGACGAAUUGUAGUUUAUAGAAGUGUUUUCUGUUAGUAGAGUGGCAAAAGUUCUUUGGAAUAGGACAUCAUAGAGGGUGAGAAUCCCGUAUUUGGUCCAUUCCUUCUAGCGUUGUGAUACACUUUCAACGAGUCGGAUUGUUUGGGAAUGCAGUCCAAAAUGGGUGGUAAAUUUCAUCUAAAGCUAAAUAUUGGCGAGAGACCGAUAGCGAACAUGUACCGUGAGGGAAAGAUGAAAAGAACUUUGAAAAGAGAGUUAAACAGUACGUGAAAUUGUCAAAAGGGAAGCGUUUGACACCAGUGUUGUUUUUCCGAAAAUCAAUUACGAAUGUUUUGUUUUUAAGAAGUUAUGACUUCAUCGGCUUGCUUCUUUCUUUACGAAACUUUCUUAAUGCACUUUUCGGUUAACAAGUCAACAUCAAUUUCUUUUGUUGUAAAAGGGUAUGAGGAAGGUGGCUUUCUUUUCGGAGAAAGUGUUUAUAGCCUUGUGCCUCUGCAAUCGGAGAGAUUGAGGUCUGCAGCGUAGAUCCUUCGGGGUUAGAUACAUUUGUGCUAAGUUAUAGCUUUUCAUAGACAACUUGUUGACUAUGUUUAGUCUUGUAGCUUACUCGCUUAUGCUAUUUUACCUACGCUUAGGAUGUUGACACACGCGCGUGCUCG
rnacentral:rRNA from 1 species